rnacentral:rRNA from 1 species
CCUACGGGCGGCAGCAGUGAGGCAUAUUGGUCAAUGGACGAGAGUCUGAACCAGCCAAGUAGCGUGAAGGAUGACUGCCCUAUGGGUUGUAAACUUCUUUUAUAUGGGAGUAAAACAGGGUAUGCAUACCCUCUUGUAUGUACCAUAUGAAUAAGGAUCGGCUAACUCCGUGCCAGCAGCCGCGGUAAUACGGAGGAUCCGAGCGUUAUCCGGAUUUAUUGGGUUUAAAGGGAGCGUAGGUGGAUUGUUAAGUCAGUUGUGAAAGUUUGCGGCUCAACCGUAAAAUUGCAGUUGAAACUGGCAGUCGUGAGUACAGUAGAGGUGGGCGGAAUUCGUGGUGGAGCGGUGAAAUGCUUAGAUAUCACGAAGAACUCCGAUUGCGAAGGCAGCUCACUGGACUGCAACUGACACUGAUGCGCGAAAGUGUGGGUAUCAAACAGGAUUAGAUACCCUUGUAGUC